rnacentral:lncRNA from 1 species
AGGGCGGGACCUGUGAGUCUCUCAGCAUCGUUCCCAGCGCAGAGGCAUUUUUCGGGUUUUGGAGGCGAGACCGGCCAGGAAGGCUGAGGCAUGAUUCAAAAGCCCUGGAAUUAUCUGGAACGGGGAUGCAAACUAGAAUGUGAAAUGCAAAGCCCUGCCUGGGCGGAAGGUACAAUUUCAUGCUGAUAGCCCACAGAACCGAAUAGAAAUCCUCUCCCUUUCUAUUCUCCAUUCACUUGGGAGAGAGUCCACGCUGUGCUCAGCUUUAGAGACUCAGGCCACUGCCUGAGAUGCAGGAUGGAGUGCUCAGGCCAAGGAUGGGUGAGGUCACCACCUGCGGCUUAAACACAGCUGGGAUAUGGGCGCGGGAGUGGGAGCCUGAGGUCCCAGCUAUUCAGGAAGCAGCGGCGGGAGGAUCGCCGAGCCUGGGAGUUCAGGCCAGCCUGGGCGACAAAGUAACACCCCCUCCCGCAGGGCUCCCUUCCUCGUCUCUCUCUCUCUUUUCUUUUUUAUAAUAAAAUUUUUGAUGAUGUUACAUAGGGAUCCAACAUUAUUCUUUUCCACGUGGAUAUCCAGUUAGUUGUCCCAGCGUAUUUGUGUAAGAGAUCUAUCAGUUUCUUUUUUUGUUUCUUGAGAUGGAGUUUUGCUCUAGUUGACCAGGCUGGAGUGCAAUGGCGCGAUCUCUGUCUCCCAGGUUCAAUCGAUUCUCAUGCCUCUAUCUCCCAAGUAGCUGGGAUCACAGGGAUGUGCCACCAUGCCCUGCUAAUUUUGUAUUUUUAGUAGAGAUGGGAUUUCUCCAUGUUGGUCAGGUUGGUCUCAAAUUUCCGACCUCAAGUAAUCCGCCCGCCUCGGCCUCCCAAAGUGCUGGGAUUACAGGUGUGAGCAACUGCACCCUGCCCAUUCUUCUUGACGUAAACACUUUUUAUGUCAAUUAAUGCUUGAACUCAAUGUUAAGUCAACUCAAACUCUAGUCAAUGCAGAAUUGACUCUAAUGUCAAUUAAAGUUUGUCAUUUUCUAUAGUCAUUGUAUUUGGGACAAUUAUCUCAAAAAUGAAUUUUCUACUGUUCUGCAAGGAGUGACCUCAGACUAAAGACAUUGCCACACCUAUUCCAUUUGUAAGAUUUCUGUCCAGUAUAGAUUCCCUGAUGUCUAAUGCGGUGUGAAUGUAAAGUAAAGACAUUGCCACACUGGGCGUGGUGGCUCAUGCCUGUAAUACCAGCACUUUGGGAGGCCGAGGCAGGCGGAUCACAAGAUCAAGAGUUGAGAGCAACCAGGCCAACAUGGUGAAACCCUGUCUCUACUAAAAACAUAAAAAUUAGCCAGGCUUGGUGGAGCAUGCUUGUAGUCCCAGCUACUCAGGAGGCUAGGAAGGAGAAUCGUAUGAAC